CUUCGGCAAGAGCUAAACAUGUAAGCAAUUUUUUUUUCCUACUUGUCUUUUUAUAUUGUUCUUUGUAUCAUAAUUAAUUCUUAAAUUUCAACUAAUUAUCAUUUUUUUUUUUUGAACUUGUUUUGCGUGUUGCUGCUGUGUGCUUAACUAGCAAGCCAAACUGGUACAGUAAUAUACUCUUUAUUUAGUGUUAAAAAUAAUAUGCCAUGAAUGAUUACUUACAAAUUUGCUUUUUGGUUUUUUCUAGGAAUGAUAUAUUAAAAAUGAGAGAUUGUCGGGGCAAAAAGUACAAUUCCCUGUUCAUCAAUUGUGGCGGUCCAAAGUUAAAUGUUGAUGGGAAUGAAUACGACGGAGAUCUUUCUAUAAAAAACUUUGCUAAAGGUCCAAAAGGAAAGUGGGCGUAUACAUGCUCUGGCGAUUUCUGGUCAACAACUAGCAAUUCAAGUGAUUACCAUAAAAACAUGACCUGUGGAGUUUCUGAGAAUUAUUUAUACAGAACAGGUCGUCUUUGCCCUGUUGCUUUGUCAUACUAUGCGUUCUGUUUACAAGAUGACCAGUACAAUGUCACGCUUCACUUUGCUGAAACUGUUUAUACAACGAAAGAAGAUUAUAGCAGCAACGGAAAACGAGUUUUCGAUGUGUAUAUUCAGGGGGAGAGACAGCGAAAGGAUUUUGACAUAAAGAGAUGGAGUGGGGUCCAAAUCAAGAACAGCCUGAAGUGUUUCCUUAUACAAAUGUGAAAGACAAUUUAUUGCAGAUACAUUUGUAUUGGGCUGGCAAAGGAUCUCUGAACAACCCACCUGCUCUUAAUGGACCACUUUUAUCAGCCAUUUCGGUGAUUCCAACUAAUCAUCCCAGCAAGAAAUUAUCGCCUGGGCAAAUAGCAGGAAUUACACUGGGCUCUGUUUUCACUCCCUUGCUUCUCUUGGCUUUCGUCUGGAAAAUGGGCUGGCUACGAAACAGGGAGUUGGAUGGUGAGAUUAUAUGUUACUUAAAAAAUCAUUUUGCAUGAUUUUACGAUCUUGCAUGGAGAAUUAUUGCCACAAAAGUGCAAGUUAUGAAUUAAUUUACUUUUUCCCCCUUUGAAUAGAAAUAAUAAAAAUAAAUGUUCAAGAAAAAGUUGUCACCGUCACCCUCAGGCAGGUCAUAAAUGCUACUGGAAAUUUUAACC
rnacentral:misc_RNA from 1 species